rnacentral:rRNA from 1 species
UACGAAGGGGGCUAGCGUUGCUCGGAAUCACUGGGCGUAAAGGGUGCGUAGGCGGGUCUUUAAGUCGGGGGUGAAAUCCCGAGGCUCAACCUCGGAACUGCCUUCGAUACUGCCGAUCUGGAGUCCGGGAGAGGUGAGUGGAACUGCGAGUGUAGAGGUGAAAUUCGUAGAUAUUCGCAAGAACACCAGUGGCGAAGGCGGCUCACUGGCCCGGUACUGACGCUGAGAUGCGAAAGCGUGGGGAGCAAACAGG